rnacentral:rRNA from 1 species
AUUGAACGCUGGCGGCAUGCCUUACACAUGCAAGUCGAACGGCAGCACGGGUGCUUGCACCUGGUGGCGAGUGGCGAACGGGUGAGUAACAUAUCGGAACGUACCCAGUAAUGGGGGAUAACUAACCGAAAGGUUAGCUAAUACCGCAUACGCCCUGAGGGGGAAAGCGGGGGAUCGAAAGACCUCGCGUUAUUGGAGCGGCCGAUAUCUGAUUAGCUAGUUGGUGAGGUAAAGGCUCACCAAGGCGACGAUCAGUAGCAGGUCUGAGAGGAUGAUCUGCCACACUGGAACUGAGACACGGUCCAGACUCCUACGGGAGGCAGCAGUGGGGAAUUUUGGACAAUGGGGGAAACCCUGAUCCAGCCAUUCCGCGUGAGUGAAGAAGGCCUUCGGGUUGUAAAGCUCUUUCGGCAGGGAAGAAACGGUUCUGGAUAAUACCCGGAGCUAAUGACGGUACCUGAAGAAGAAGCACCGGCUAACUACGUGCCAGCCGCCGCCGUAA